rnacentral:pre_miRNA from 1 species
AUUGUACUCCCUCCGUCCGAAAAUACUUGUCAUCAAAAUGGAUAAAAAGAGAUGUAUCUAAAACUAAAAUACGUCUAGAUACAUCCUCUUUUAUCCAUUUUGAUGACAAGUAUUUUCGGAUGGAGGGAGUAAUUU